rnacentral:lncRNA from 1 species
AGCUGGAAAAACCUGAACUUUAUGCCUGCUGUCCCUUCCCCCAGGUUCAACUUAUGAUGGCACCUUACAGUUUUGAGGUCAAACUAGAUGUGACAUCUGUCACCUCUCUGUCACAAGAGCUUGACAUGUCUCUGCUUUUCCUCAUUGCUCAGGAUGCAUGCUUCCCGAGGCUGGACAUCUCAUCUUCCAUCACGAGGUGUCUAUGGAGCCCAGGAAAAGCCAGAGGAGCCUCAACAGCUGGAUGCUAUAAAUGCCUCAGUUUUGGCACUCAUCUUUCAAUCACUUCACUAAUCGUAUAUAGAAUAUUCAGGAAAAGGAUGUUUGCCAUGGAUGCAUCAUCUGCUUCCCAGCUCUGCAGUAUCUGACACAUGACCUGGGAACACCGUGCCCUGACACAGGAGUGCUUCCAGCUCCGCUUCGGGAUAGCCCAGCCUCCAUCUACAAGGUAUCGAUUAAAACACAAGCUUGAUAGUGUUCACAUCAAACAAGUUUCGAAUGUAAACACCCAUGGGAAGUGAAUUAUUGUGAUUUUUUUCUGAAUUAUUAUUGUAGAAAUUUUGGAAGAUAUAGUAAAGAAAGUAAGCAUCAUUUAUAAUAUCCUUAGGCUCAAAGCAAGAUACCCUUGAACUGUUGAUGUGUUUUCUUCAACUAUAUCUACGUGUGUGUAUACAUAUAUAUUUUUUCUUUUGGAAAAUUGGAGGUUUCUGCUUUUUUCACUUAAAAAUAUAUCAUCUGCAUUUUUCCAUAUUACUACUAUUCUAAAGCAUGAUUGCUAAUGACUAAUCAUCUGAAUGUUUAUCAUUUUUAACCAUCCUUAUUGACUGAUAUUAAGAUUCUGCUCACAUUUUUGUUCAUGUAAGUAAUGCUGCAGUAAACAUCCCUAAACACAAAUCUUUUUUACA